rnacentral:ncRNA from 17 species
AUCGUAGCAUUGCCGUCCGGCCUCAAGCAGCGAGUGAAAAGGGAAUCCGGUGUGAAUCCGGAGCUGACGCGCAGCGGUAAGGGGAAGUCACGGCGAUAGCGUUUCGACGCAGACACUGUCCACUGCAGGAUGGGAAGUCAUCGCCCGUUGCCGGUCGCGCCCCGCGGCCCGCAAAUCCCAAGCCCGAAGACCUGCCGGUGUUACGUCGCAAUGU